rnacentral:lncRNA from 1 species
GGCACUGAUUGUAUGUCAGGUUGAAGUAUGGAGGCAAUGCAAGCUUGCAAUCCAACCAUAUUGGUAGAAGAAGAAAUUUUUCCGUUGUUGAUAUCAAUGUUUAAACUCACGUCUCCCUGAGUUUCGGUAUUAGAAUGCCCAGGAGCAUGAGGUAACUCAAGCAAUUGUCCUUCAACAUCUCUCGGAACAUCAGUAUUAC